rnacentral:rRNA from 1 species
UAGUCCACGCCGUAAACGAUGGAUACUAGAUGUCGGAGACUCUUGCCUCUUCGGUGUCGUAGCUAACGCGUUAAGUAUCCCGCCUGGGGACUACGGCCGCAAGGCUAAAACCUAAAGAAAUUGACGGGGGCCCGCACAAGCGGUGGAGGAUGUGGUUUAAUCCGAUGCAACGCGUAGAACCUUACCUGGGCUUGACAUCCUGUGCUACCUAAGGAAACUUAGGGUUCUCUUCGGAGACGCAGUGACAGGUGCUGCAUGGCUGUCGUCAGCUCGUGUCGUGAGAUGUUGGGUUAAGUCCCGCAACGAGCGCAACCCUUGCUAUUAGUUGCCAUCAAGUAAUGUUGGGCACUCUAAUGGGACCGCUAGCCGAUAAGGGCAGAGGAAGGAGGGGGAUGAAGUCAAGUCUGCAUGGGCCCUUAGCCCAGGGGCUACACACGUCCUACAAUGGGCUAGUACAGAGCGCAGCGAAACCGCGAGGGUUGAGCCAAUC